rnacentral:rRNA from 1 species
GGANUUGCGAAUGCGCGAAAGCGUGACGCAGCAACGCCGCGUGGGGGAAGACGGCUUUCGGGUUGUAAACCCCUUUCAGUUGGGACGAAGCUUCGCCGGUGAAUAGCCGGCCGGAGUGACGGUACCUUCACAAGAAGCACCGGCUAACUACGUGCCAGCAGCCGCGGUAAUACGUAGGGUGCAAGCGUUGUCCGGAAUCAUUGGGCGUAAAGAGCGUGUAGGCGGCCCGAUAAGUCCGCUGUGAAAGUCUAGGGCUCAACCCUGGAAUGCCGGUGGAUACUGUCGGGCUAGAGUCCGGAAGGGGCGAGUGGAAUUCCUGGUGUAGCGGUGAAAUGCGCAGAUAUCAGGAGGAACACCAAUGGCAAAGGCAGCUCGCUGGGACGGUACUGACGCUGAGACGCGAAAGCGUGGGGAGCAAACAGGAUUAGAUACCCUGGUAGUCCACGCUGUAAACGAUGGCAACUAGGUGUGGGGGGUGUCGACUCCCCCUGUGCCGAAGCUAACGCAUUAAGUUGCCCGCCUGGGGAGUACGGCCGCAAGGCUAAAACUCAAAAGAAUUGACGGA